GCCCAUGUUAAUAGGGAUUCUGGCAACUCACUUUGUUUAGCUAGCGUACAUGUUGAAACUCUCGGCCAGGCGAUGUCUCCUCCAGACAUCACGCGCGCCGUCGCUUACCACAGCGCCAUCGACGGCCAUGGAGACGGUGACGGCAUGGGCGACGGCGACGGCGACGGCGACGGCGACCGCAUGGUGAUGUCGAUGGCAAUGCGACGACCACGAUGAGAUCCUCCUGCCUGCCCUUCGCCUGACCGGCGGGCGACGGCAACAAAAAUGAUGACUCAGAUCGUUGAGGAAACAGUACAAUAUAUCCAUGGCAUGGUGACCAAGAUGGAUGCAUGCACGGGCCUUGCUAGCUUCCCGAUCGUCUGCACACAUCAGUGCCAUGCAUCAGAACAAAAAAGCAGUAUAUUCAUCCAUCUUUGCACUCCAAUGUAUCAAUGUAAUCCGAUCUAAUUUCUACGUGCA